GGGAGUUAAGUGGUAGAUCACAUGUGGGCGUGGUGCUUAGAAUUUAUUUACCUGCAAAUGUAUCCUAUUGGCCGGGUCGUGUGGUAGUUCGUGAUAGUGACAGCUUCGUUGAUUCUUAUAUAGUCCACCCUCAGUUGAUAGGACUGGCAGAAUUUGUAUUGCAGAGCAAGUCUUGCGAUGCUCUGAUUUACUUUAGCAAUGUUCCUUAUACAUGAAUGAAGAGUCUUUUAUGCUAUAUAUGAUCUUGUAGAUAACUAGAGUAGAUUGUGACUUAGUAGAUAGUAGAUAACUUAGAAUCCAUUCUCUAGCUAAUCUGACAUCACCUUACAUAUAUGAGGUGUAGUCUAUUUUCUAAUCGUUGUGUUAUUCACCCAUAAACUUAUAAUUCAUUAUCAUUAUCUUUAUGGUUUACCCCCUGCCAAAGUAAGUGACUGUGUGACGAGUUCCUCAUUAGUAAUCAUGUUCUUGCAGGUUUAUCUCUAGUCUAUGCCUUGAUAGGUUUAUCCUUAUCUUCAUUUAAUCCUUUUUUCUCCUGAGCAAAAUUAUAAAUAACGAUACCUAGAAUACUUACCUGGUGAAAUGAUACAAUGAGGUGUUUUAUCUGUGCGCUUGCAGAUAGAAUAGAUUAUUUUCUAGAGAGCCUCCAUAUUUAUAAAAACCUUUGUACACUCUGGCACCAUGCUGGGGAUGACAACCUAGUAUUCAAGUGGUGUUAGCUAGUGUCAACAACCCAUUUUACCUUUCACAAUGGGGCUUAUAGCUAUCACUUUGGUCUUGGGCAGUUGAAAGACAGAAUAGUGAAGUCAAGCACUAUGUUACCUGCUCAUUGAUCAACUAUUAUUCCAGAGUUUUGCAAGAUUUUCAAAUAAAACUUAGAGUUUCCUUGUAUGACACUUUCCAGUCUCUCAUAUGUGGUAUUUUUUAAUCCUAUCCAAGGCAAGUGAGUAUGCCUUCUCUCUUCUUCUCAGAAUAUGUGGUAUUUGCAUCACUAAGAGAUAGUUGCCUUCUAUCUCACCCUACUUCUAAUUGGCUUAUGUGGAGCUCAUAGGUGGGAAAGACAAUUUAAACCUACUUGCAUGUAUUGCAUAGUUAAACCAUGGAUCUAGAGAAACUAAUUAUACAAUAAAGUCAUAUGUGCAUGUGAGUGUAGUGAAUGAAGUGAAUGAUAAGAAUGAAAGUGGUAAUGAGGGGUGAUAACUUAUGGUGAAUAUCUUAUUCUACAAUUGCUCCUUGUGGAUAACAUACUUCCCUAGUCUGAGAACAAGGAUUUGGCUGUCUUUCUUUUCUUUUGCAUUGGGACUUUUGUCCACUUUCUUUCUUUUUCCUUUUUCCUCUCUUCUUUUUCUCUAUUUUUUAAUGACGAGCCAUCCCUUUUAAUUCAAUGAUAACAGUAGGGAGUAUCAACUGGGAUAACUAGGGCUUUAUUGGAUAAGUAGAAUAAGACAUUGAAUAUUUUUGGGUGUCUUCUCCUAGUGUAGGAGUAGAACAUUUUCUAAGUGGAUGUGGAAUGUGUGUGGGUGAAUGAAGGAAUGUGUACUCCUAGGGUAGGAGCAACAUAGGUGCGUGUCUCUUGGAUAAAAACAACAUAAAGUGUAGUGCGUAUAUGUGGGUGAUACUUCCAGGAAUAGAAGUAGCACAUAUUGAAUAUGGUGGAUGUAGGUGGUUGCAUACUUCUGAGGGUAGAAGUAGCUAAGAUCAAUGGAUGGAGAGCACAUAAUAUUGACUUGAACUACAUGACUAGUUCCUUAGGGUCUACACAGCUUAACUACUCUCAAUGCUUAUAGGUUGAAAUAUAAGUGGAGGUUUUCCUAAUCUAGUAAGCAUGAGUAAUUGGUUGUGGUAGGAAUUUUAAAACUGUCGUCAUAAAGGAACUCAUCAUGUAGCAAUUUCAGAUUUUCAAAAAAAAAAUCUCUAGAAUUCUAGCAUCUCUAGGAGCAAGAUUGAUAGCAGCUGAGAACCUCAACAUAUCAUAUCUGUCAACAACCUAGACUUAGAUUAAGAAUUUGCUACACACAAGUUUUAGGCUCAGAGCAAAUCUUAAGUCUAAAUAGUUGUGCCUAAAACUUAAGAGAUUACAAGGAUGAAAGCUAGGUACUUGCAAGGAAUUAGGGUAGAGCAACUAUUCAUCAUCUCCAUAUAAGAGUUAAUUCUAGAGGUUCAUCUUAACAGAUUCAUCAAGAGUUCUCCUAGUAAGAUUAAUUAUGAAAGAUAAAACAUUUAUUGGGUUUCUAAGAUUAUUCAUCUUUUUAUCUUGUC
rnacentral:lncRNA from 1 species